rnacentral:rRNA from 1 species
GAUGAACGCUGGCGGCGUGCUUAACACAUGCAAGUCGAACGAGAAGUGAAGACGGAAACCUUCGGGCGGAAGGCUUUAUUUCGAGUGGCGGACGGGUGAGUAACGCGUGGGUAAACUGCCACAUACAGGGGGAUAACAGUUGGAAACGACUGUUAAUACCGCAUAAGACCACAGCACCGCAUGGUGCGGGGGUAAAAGCUCCGGUGGUAUGAGAUGGACCCGCGUUCGAUUAGCCAGUUGGCGGGGUAACGGCCCACCAAAGCGACGAUCGAUAGCCGAUCUGAGAGGAUGACCGGCCACAUUGGGACUGAGACACGGCCCAAACUCCUACGGGAGGCAGCAGUGGGGAAUAUUGCACAAUGGGGGAAACCCUGAUGCAGCGACGCCGCGUGAGUGAAGAAGUAUUUCGGUAUGUAAAGCUCUAUCAGCAGGGAAGAAAAUGACGGUACCUGAGUAAGAAGCCCCGGCUAACUACGUG